rnacentral:rRNA from 1 species
ACGGAGGAUGCAAGCGUUAUCCGGAUUCAUUGGGUUUAAAGGGUGCGUAGGCGGAGUACUAAGUCAGUGGUGAAAUCCUGCAGCUUAACUGUAGAACUGUCAUUGAUACUGGUAUUCUUGAAUGCAGUUGAGGUAGGCGGAAUGUGUAAUGUAGCGGUGAAAUGCUUAGAUAUUACACAGAACACCGAUUGCGAAGGCAGCUUACUAAACUGUGAUUGACGCUGAGGCACGAAAGCGUGGGGAGCAAACAGGAUUAGAUACCCUGGUAGUCCACGCCGUAAACUAUGAUCACUCGCUGUUGGCGAUAAAUUGUCAGCGGCUGAGCGAAAGCAUUAAGUGAUCCACCUGGGGAGUACGAUCGCAAGGUUG